rnacentral:rRNA from 1 species
AAAAAAUCGGUGGCUGCGACUGUUUAUUAAAAACACAGCACUCUGCAAACACGAAAGUGGACGUAUAGGGUGUGACGCCUGCCCGGUGCUGGAAGAUUAAAUGAUGGGGUGCAAGCUCUUGAUUGAAGUCCCAGUAAACGGCGGCCGUAACUAUAACGGUCCUAAGGUAGCGAAAUUCCUUGUCGGGUAAGUUCCGACCUGCACGAAUGGCGUAACGAUGGCCACACUGUCUCCUCCUGAGACUCAGCGAAGUUGAAAUGUUUGUGAUGAUGCAAUCUCCCCGCGGAAAGACGGAAAGACCCCAUGAACCUUUACUGUAGCUUUGUAUUGGACUUUGAACAGAUCUGUGUAGGAUAGGUGGGAGGCUUUGAAGCAGGGUCGCUAGAUCUUGUGGAGCCAACGUUGAAAUACCACCCUGGUGUGUUUGAGGUUCUAACCUAGGUCCAUUAUCUGGAUCGGGGACAGUGCAUGGUAGGCAGUUUGACUGGGGCGGUCUCCUCCCAAAGCGUAACGGAGGAGUUCGAAGGUACGCUAGUUACGGUCGGACAUCGUGACGAUAGUGCAAUGGCAUAAGCGUGCUUAACUGCGAGACUGACAAGUCGAGCAGAUGCGAAAGCAGGACAUAGUGAUCCGGUGGUUCUGUAUGGAAGGGCCAUCGCUCAACGGAUAAAAGGUACUCUGGGGAUAACAGGCUGAUACCGCCCAAGAGUUCAUAUCGACGGCGGUGUUUGGCACCUCGAUGUCGGCUCAUCUCAUCCUGGGGCUGUAGCCGGUCCCAAGGGUAUGGCUGUUCGCCAUUUAAAGAGGUACGUGAGCUGGGUUUAAAACGUCGUGAGACAGUUUGGUCCCUAUCUUCCGUGGGCGCUGCAGAUUUGAGGAAGCCUGCUCCUAGUACGAGAGGACCGGAGUGGACACACCUCUGGUGUAUCGGUUGUCACGCCAGUGGCAUUGCCGAGUAGCUAAGUGUGGAAGAGAUAACCGCUGAAAGCAUCUAAGCGGGAAACUCGUUUCAAGAUGAGAUCUGCCGGGGCCUUGAGCCCCCUAAAGAGUCGUUCAAGACCAGGACGUUGAUAGGUCAGGUGUGGAAGCGCAGUAAUGCGUUAAGCUAACUGAUACUAAUUGCUCGUGCGGCUUGACCCU